rnacentral:piRNA from 1 species
UAUGUGACCUACUCUUACACAGAGAUAUAUGU